CAAUACAGUUAUCAAAGUAUGCACCUAAAUUAUCAAUACAAUUUUGCUAUUUUAUCGGUAGCUUCUUUAUGCUGGCAGCAAAGAAUUCUGGAGAGCAAGAGGUGAUGAAAUCAUGAAAGGCUGUUUUUGCAUCUUCUUCAGAUUUGAAGUUUUUUCCUUGCAAAAUGUUGUUUAAAUCCUG